GGUAUAUAGCUCAGUGGAUAGAGUGCUUGCCUCCCAUGUACAAGGCCUUGGGUUCAAUCCCCACCACCA
rnacentral:tRNA from 1 species